CAGCAGCCACGGUAAUACAGAGGGUGCGAGCGUUAAUCAGAUUUACUGGGCGUAAAGCGUGCGUAGGCGGCUUCUUAAGUCGGAUGUGAAAUCCCUGAGCUUAACUUAGGAAUUGCAUUCGAUACUGGGAAGCUAGAGUAUGGGAGAGGAUGGUAGAAUUCCAGGUGUAGCGGUGAAAUGCGUAGAGAUCUGGAGGAAUACCGAUGGCGAAGGCAGCCAUCUGGCCUAAUACUGACGCUGAGGUACGAAAGCAUGGGGAGCAAACAGGAUUAGAUACCCGCGUAGUCCCUGUCUCUUAUAC
rnacentral:rRNA from 1 species